rnacentral:rRNA from 1 species
UACGUAGGUGGCAAGCGUUGUUCGGAUUUACUGGGCGUAAAGGGCGCGUAGGCGGCAAUUCAAGUCAGCUGUGAAAUCUCCGGGCUUAACUCGGAACGGUCAGCUGAUACUGCUUUGCUAGAGUGCAGAAGGGGCAAUCGGAAUUCUUGGUGUAGCGGUGAAAUGCGUAGAUAUCAAGAGGAACACCUGAGGUGAAGACGGGUUGCUGGGCUGACACUGACGCUGAGGCGCGAAAGCUAGGGUAGCAAACGGG